GUCAAUGAUGAAGCUGGAAAAGAAUGUAUUUAUAGACCCAUAUACUUGACAGAAGAUGUGAAUGAGAUAAUGGAUUAGAGAUUCUUCCUGGCUCUUGUAUCAUUCUUACCUCUGUCUUUCACUCACAGCUGUCAGCUGUAACAUAGAGAAACGUCUACGUUUCUCUAUUUCUCUAUUUCUACUUCUCUGUUUCUCCCUUUGUGAAAGAACUCAUAGUACUGAGCAGCAGGAAUUUGCCAGUGUUUGGAGAAGGCGCUGCUGAUAAAAUUGGUUGCUCAUGUGGGCACAACAGAAGGCAUAUCAGAGUUGAGACUUGGAAGGUGUCCUGGACAUGAGAUUUUCUAAGUGUGUGUCGAUUACUUGUAUGACAGCACUAGGACUGUGUCACAAUCCUAAAUCCUGAUAAAACGCUCAGGCUAUUCGUACCUUGUGUGGGCGUUCUGCUUAUUUUCUUAUCACCAUCUUAUCAUUUGGCAAGGACUUCCAAAUUAAUCUAAGAAAUAUUCUGGGCAUUUUUUAAAAUAUUCUGCGCACUGGAAUUCAGCAAACAUUUAUUAAUUGACAAAACACUAGCAAAGAAUAUGUAACCAAAAAAAGAAUAAAACUGUUCACCUCCUCUCUGUAUGACACACUAAGAACAUGAGGUUAAAAGUUACGUUCCACAAACAUACCUUUUGCUGAGAUGCACUUGGUUUGCUAAGUGUUGUGGAUAUGAGCCAAAGUCUCCAGACCUUGAGUUCUGGAUCAUUGUUGCAGGGAGCAUGGAAAAAUAUAGCUUUGUGACUAAGGGAAGGGAGUGGUUCACUGAUCUCCACCUGUGCAGAUCUGAGCAACACAAUUCCCCUGAGGAUGUCUGGGUUUCUGCAAGGUUAUUUCCAAAGAGAAGUAAAAACCUCAGCUGAAGAUCAGAGUUACUGAGGAGCCACUCAGUCAGCUGGUGCAUAUGACAGGGGUCACAUUACUGAAGUUUUGGGACAGAUGAACAGAUACCUUCUCCUAGCCUACCUUCUACAGCUGCUUUAGGAAAACACAGAUACACUUCUGAAAACAGAGCACAGCAUAAAAGAAGAAUCACAGCUUCAGAGAAUGCUUCAAGGGACACUUUGCUGGCAGCUGUAACAGUACAGAGGGGUUUUUUUAAUCGCUCACUGUCUAUACAUGAAUCAUAGCCAGUGGCAUCAUGUGGAGACCAUAGGCUGGUGGAAAAAAUAAAUUACAAAAUAAAUUCUAAUUUUUGUGGG